rnacentral:lncRNA from 1 species
GUCGUAACUACAAUUCCCUUCCCUUUCCUGAAUGUGACCUACCGAAUUAGACUAUUUACCGGAUUUGUUAUCACAUAAGCAACACGACGGGUGCCGCAUGUGGAGCAGGAUCUGCUUACCCUUCCGGAGCACCUGAGAUCACCCCUAGUUUUUUGGUGGGGUUCGUGUUGUUUAUUCUUUAGUUUUCUAUGUUGUAUCGUGUGUGCUGUUGUUUGUUUGUCUUUUCAUUUUUAGCCAUGGCGUUGUCAGUUUGUUUUAGAUUUAUGAGUUUGACUGUCCCUUUGGUAUCUUUCGUCCCUCUUUU